rnacentral:lncRNA from 1 species
CCCGCUCCUCACACACCCUCUUCGUAGAAAUACACACUCACGGACGCACUCCCCUCGCUCACCCUCACGCCGUCGCUCAUCCCCACACACACGCACCUACACUGACGCGGAGAAGAGAGGGAGGUCGCUGCUGCCGUUCAUGCCCAUCGUUGCCAACUGCACCGUCGCGGAGGAGCGUCUCUGUCGUCGCGAGCUGCAACCGCCGCCAUUGAAGCCACCCUCGCCGUCGUCCUUGAGCGCUAGUGAGAGAGAGAGCUCAAGGAAGAGAGGAACGCUGUCCCGCCAUGCACCGUCGUCACUGGAGCUGCACCGCCGCCGAAGACCCGCC